rnacentral:rRNA from 1 species
GACGAACGCUGGCGGCGUGCUUAACACAUGCAAGUCGAACGAAGUGGCGAACGGGUGAGUAACGCGUAAUCAACCUGCCCUUCAGAGGGGGACAACAGUUGGAAACGAAGGCUAAUACCGCAAACGGAAGGAGGGGAUUGUGUCGGAUUAGCUCGUUGGAGGGGUAACGGCCCACCAAGGCGAGGAUCAGUAGCCGGUCUGGUAGGAUUAACCGCCACAAUGGGACUUGGACACGGCCCAGACUCCUACGGGAGGCAGCCGUGGGGAAUCGUCCGCAAUGGACGAAAGUCUGACGGAGCCACGCCGCCUUAGUGAUGACGGCCUUCGGGUUUUAAAGCUCUGUUAAUCGGGACGCAGUACCGGAAUAGAAAGCCACGGCUAACUACGUGCCAGCAGCCGCGGUAAUAC